AGUGAACGCUGGCGGUAGGCCUAACACAUGCAAGUCGAACGGCAGCACAAUAAGAGCUUGCUCUACCGGGUGGCGAGUGGCGGACGGGUGAGGAAUACAUCCGGCUCUACUUUUUCGUGGGGGCUAGCGUAGGGGAACUUACGCUCAUACAGCAUACGACCGACGGGGUAAAGCAGGGGAUCUUCGGAGCUUGCGCGUUAGAUUGAGCCGUUGUAGGUUUAGCGAGUUGGCGGGGUAAAGGCCCACCACGGCGGCGAUCCGUAGCCGGUGUGAGAGGGUGAUCAGCGCCACUGGAGCUGAGACACGGUCCAGGCACCUACGGAAGGCAGCAGUGGGGAAUAUAGGACAAUGGGCGCAAGCCUGAUCCAGCCAUGCCAGGUGGGUGAAGAAGGCCUUCGGGUUGUAAAGCGCUUUUGUUGGGAAAGAAAAGCAGCAGGUGAAUACCCCGCUGUGCUGACGGUACUGAAAGAGUAGGCACCGGCAAACAUGGU
rnacentral:rRNA from 1 species